rnacentral:lncRNA from 1 species
UGUCUCAUUUGCUGCACCAGCUAGUUUGCAUUGACACAGCAAGAUCUACAGACUGCAUUUCGCACAUGGACGCUUGUGUUUCUCCACACGUCUGCAAAAGUGAACAGGCUGUUCUCAGAAAUAUCUGUCAUUUUAAAGAUGGAGACUGCCACAUGACUGACGCAAAGGUCUGUAAGGCCACUCUUCAGAUGAUGUUAAGCCGCUCACCUGCAUUGGGACAGUGUGUUUGUUCUGGGACAGAUCCAUGCAGCACUCUACAACAGCUGUACUCUCAGUGCCAGCAUCAUUGGGUACAUCACACCAACCGAUCCUGUCUUGAAGCAGGCAGAUAUUUAGCAGGUACCUGUCCAAAUGUUUUGGGGUAAAAGGAAUCUGCAUAUGAUUCGACCAGUGAAUGGCUAAGUUGUCUGGACCCCUACUUCUUUCUUGGGCACGACCUCCAAUGCAGGGUGGCAUUUGUUGAAACAAUGGGUUCAAUACUUCAUCAACCAUGCACUUGUGAUGGAUUAAAUCAUCAUGAUCAGUAUAAGUGCAAUGAGCUGAAACACAUUUUCCAAGACAAGUCCCUAUUCAGGACCAAAGAAAAUUUCAGACAUGGAGGAGAAUCCCCUGAAAUAAACACUGGGCACCAGCCAACCAGUGAAACAAGCACUGGGCAGCAGUGGUUAAGUAGUGAAAAUGUCCGAUAUGGACAAUUCGAUGAUUCAAGCAAUGGGCAGCGACCAACCAAUGAAUCAAGCAUUAAGCAGCAAUGGUUGAGUGAUCAACCAUUCUACUUACUGAUAUAUAUCUCUGCUUUAAUGGUGGUGGUAUUGUUCGUGGUCAGCCUUGUUUUGCACAGACUGUGGAGAAUACACCAAGCUGCUAGUAAACCAACUUUUGAGGCCCAUCAGUCAAAGUCUCUGAUGUUGUCUUCUGUUAUUAUUUGAGUGAUGUGAAGUGGCAGUGAUAUGUAUACUUUGCACAAUGUAGUUACAUCUUUCACUGUGAAUUUGAAAUAUUCUGGCUCAUGCUAUGAUAUCUUAUUAUAUUGGAUGAAAAAAGAAACUGUUGGGCAUAACUUGAUUUUAUCCAUAUGGUAUUCACAACAUACAGGUGCUGGUCAUAUAAUUAGAAUAUCAUCAAAAAGUUGAUUUAUUUCACUAAUUCCAUUCAAAAAGUGAAACUUGUAUAUUAUAUUUAUUCAUUACACACAGACUGAUAUAUUUCAAAUGUUUAUUUCUUUUAAUUUUGAUGAUUAUAACUGACAACUAAGGAAAAUCCCAAAUUCAGUAUCUCAGAAAAUUUUAAUAUUACUUAAGACCAAUACAAAGAAAGGAUUUUUAGAAAUAUUGGCCAACUGAAAAGUAUGAACAUGAAAAGUAUAUUAUAACUGACAACUAAAGGAAACUACCCAAAUUCA